CAUCGGUGACAGGUGGUGCAUGGUUGUCGUCAGCUCGUGUCGUGAGAUGUUGGGUUAAGUCCCGCAACGAGCGCAACCCCUAUUGUUAGUUGCCAUCAUUCAGUUGGGCACUCUAGCGAGACUGCCGGUAAUAAACCGGAGGAAGUGGGGAUGACGUCAAAUCAUCAUGCCCCUUAUGACCUGGGCUACACACGUGCUACAAUGGUUGGUACAACGAGUUGCGAGUCGGUGACGGCGAGCUAAUCUCUUAAAGCCAAUCUCAGUUCGGAUUGUAGGCUGCAACUCGCCUACAUGAAGUCGGAAUCGCUAGUAAUCGCGGAUCAGCACGCCGCGGUGAAUACGUUCCCGGGCCUU
rnacentral:rRNA from 1 species